rnacentral:tRNA from 1 species
GCCGGGGUGGCCGAGUGGACUAAGGCGCCGGCCUGGAGAGCCGGUGUCCCUUACGGGACACGAGGGUUCGAAUCCCUCCCCCGGCGCCA